rnacentral:rRNA from 1 species
UACAGAGGUCUCGAGCGUUAUUCGGAAUCACUGGGCUUAAAGCGUACGUAGGCGGAUAUGCAGGCGUCGUGUGAAAUCCCUCAGCUCAACUGAGGAACUGCACGGCGAACCGCAUGUCUUGAGACAAGUAGGGGCGGUCGGAACGAUAGGUGGAGUGGUGAAAUGCGUUGAGAUCUAGCGGAAUGCCGAAGGUGAAAACAGGCCGCUGGGCUUGGGCUGACGCUGAGGUACGAAAGCGUGGGGAGCGAACGGG